rnacentral:misc_RNA from 1 species
GUAGGUGAACCUGCGGAAGGAUCAUUAACACGUUAUUCCAACGUACCCACCAACGCGCAUUCGUUUUCAACUCUCUCCCGCCGACCUACAUGUAUUGGCUAAGUGUAUUCAGAAACUAUUGGAUGGGACACGGCUUCGGCUCGAGUCGUUUCUGACACCGACACGCUGGCAUCACACGAGGCGCAAGCAACGUGCGAGAAGGCAACAAUAGAAGUAGGCCGCGGCUAUCGCUGCGGUGCUGUAAAUCUCCGCCAAGAUUAUGAGCACCGUGGCAACUUUAUAAACCAUUUUCACUCACUUUUGCGAGUUUGACUUUUUAAUCUGUUGGGCUCUCUCUUCAUUGAGAGGCACAGCACGUUUGAUCUAAUUGAACGUUAAAAAAUACAACUCUUAGCAAUGGAUAUCUAGGUUCUC